UGGAGAGUUUGAUCCUGGCUCAGAUUGAACGCUGGCGGCAGGCUUAACACAUGCAAGUCGAGCGGAGUGAUGGUGCUUGCACUAUCACUUAGCGGCGGACGGGUGAGUAAUGCUUAGGAAUCUGCCUAUUAGUGGGGGACAACAUCUCGAAAGGGAUGCUAAUACCGCAUACGUCCUACGGGAGAAAGCAGGGGAUCACUUGUGACCUUGCGCUAAUAGAUGAGCCUAAGUCGGAUUAGCUAGUUGGUGGGGUAAAGGCCUACCAAGGCGACGAUCUGUAGCGGGUCUGAGAGGAUGAUCCGCCACACUGGGACUGAGACACGGCCCAGACUCCUACGGGAGGCAGCAGUGGGGAAUAUUGGACAAUGGGGGGAACCCUGAUCCAGCCAUGCCGCGUGUGUGAAGAAGGCCUUAUGGUUGUAAAGCACUUUAAGCGAGGAGGAGGCUCUUUUGGUUAAUACCCAAGAUGAGUGGACGUUACUCGCAGAAUAAGCACCGGCUAACUCUGUGCCAGCAGCCGCGGUA
rnacentral:rRNA from 1 species